GUGGUGGCUCAGUGGUAGAGCGCUUGCCUAGCACAUGUGAGGCCCUGGGUUCAAUUCUCAGCACCACA
rnacentral:tRNA from 1 species